rfam:Anaerobacillus arseniciselenatis strain DSM 15340 Ga0137926_149, whole genome shotgun sequence.
AAAGAGCUAUAACCGCUCACAAAUGGGUUUUAAGAUUUUGCCUAGGCAAAAGCACCUUUAGUGGCGAGUCUGAGUAUUAUA